GGGGCGCACGGUACGAGGUUCACCGCGCCGCCAGACUCCCCACCGAAAUCCCCUUCCGAUCUAGGGCAAUCGCAGUGCUCACGGGAAUCACCACUUCCACCUCUCUGUUUUGAUCCCUCUGCCAUCACCGGCCCCUACAUCACCAUGGCCGGCUCUGGAUCGAGCUCAUCCACACCCAAGGAAGGAGGCUUUCACUUGAUGAGUUGCCUAAAAGAAGUUCCGACACUCAGAGGUGACAAACACACUGAGUGGAGGAAAAAAGUUGAACUGGCAUUUGUUUGUGCUGAUCUGGACUGGGUUCUGGAUGAACCACAGUCGGUCAGACCUACAGAGCCAGUAAGAGAGACUACUGAGGAUGAUGCUGCAUGGGCUAAAAGGAAGGGGGAUUAUACUCCUUUGGAAAUGUCCUACAUCAUAGCCAACCAAAAGUGGGUCAAUGCAAAUAAAAAAUGCAUGGCCUUUAUAAAGAAUACAAUUGAGAGCACAAUUGUGGGCUCCAUUGCAGAGUGCGCUUCAGCAGCGGAGUUGCUGACAAAGAUAAAGAGCCAGUUCACUGACUCUUCAAAGAUAUAUGCCACCCAGGUUAAAAAACUUGUGACGGAACAAUACACAGGUGGUGGAAUAAGAGAGCACAUCCCGAGGAUGAGCAAUAUGGCAGCAAAGUUAAAGCCUAUGGAUGAGGAUCUGGAGAUCAAACCAAAGCUCCUGGUCCACCUUGUCAUGGCUUCACUGCCAAAGGAGUUUGAGACUUUUGUUGUGAAUUAUAAUAUGUCACCUGGAACAUGGGACAUAGAAAAGACAAUUGCUAUGUGUGUCCAAGAAGAGGACAGACUAAAAGCUUCACAUGGUGGAAUACUCAACUAUGUGAAGGAUCAUAAGAAAAAGAACUACAAUCAAAACAACAAAAGUUCUCCUUCAAAGCCACAAGGAAAAGCUCCCUAUCAGCAUCAGCGUCAGCAACAGUCUUUCCCAGUGGACAAAGACACUUGUCUCCACUGUAAGCAGACUGGGCAUUACAAGAAAGACUGCCCUGUUUGGCUGAAGUCCUUAAUGGCAAAGCAAGGUAACAACAUUGUUUCCUUAGUAAAUGAAUCCUUGUACACACAGUUUUCGAAAUCUACUUGGUGGAUUGACUCAGGGGCAACUGUUCAUGUUGCAAAUUGUUUACAGGGAUUCCAUUCGACCCGGACUACGCUAAGAAGAGAAGGAGGCAUUGAAGUAGCCAAUGGAAUAAAAGCAGAAGUUGAAGCUGUCGGCGACAUCUCCUUGGAGUUAGCUGAUGGAUUCAAGCUUCUACUUAGAGAUAUUCUUUAUGUUCCUUCAUGUAAUAGAAACUUAAUUAGCAUUUCAUGUUUGGACAAAGAAAAUUAUGAGUGUUAUUUUGGACAUGGCAAGUGUGCCAUCUGGUAUAAUAAUGCUUAUGUUGGUAAU
rnacentral:rRNA from 1 species